AUCCAUAGUUUUUUGUGGCUCUUUUUUUUUAUCGGUUAAGGCACCGUUUAGCCACCGGUACAGUUUUAAAAGUAUCAAUAUGGCACCGGUAUCGUAAAAAAAUAAUGAUAAUCAAUAACCCUUGUAACGGUGGCACGCCCCAGUGACCUUUUGGAAACAGUAUCUAUUUCAUAGUUCGGGCGCCAGACAGGAUUUUGGCCUGUCACCAAUUAAAUAUCAAAAUCCCGUGAUAACCCAGGGAGAUUUUUUAAAAUACCACAGUUACUCAAACUACAUGGGUUGCUUGUACAGUAGUUAAUAGAAGACAAACAACAACAACUUGCAGUUCAAAAGAAUUCAUUGUUAUAUAUUUGUCCCUUCUUUAUACACAAUUCUGGACACAAAUCAAAAACCCCAUAUAAUCAGGAGGAAAGGAACAAAAACAAAAACGAACAAUAAUAAACAAAAAAAAAUAAAAAUAAUAAUGAUAAUGUAUAGAAAAACAACAAUUGUAAACGACAAGGUUUUUCAUACAGGCAUAAUUAAAUGAACUUAGACAUCCCAGUAAACAAGAUCAGCAGAUCGAGGCUUUCUCCUCCAAACAAAAACACUCAUCAGCGGUCCAGCGAGAAAAAAAAACAAAAACAAAAAAACACAGGAUUAGUAUAUAUUUUUUUCUCUUGAACCACCAAAGUCAUAGAUAUACUGAAAGGGAAAUUAAAUGAAAGUCAGUAAUAUAAAUACGUCGGUCACUCAAAGCGACCCGCGAAUGGGUGGAGGAAGUGCGUGCGAUGAAGUGCGUUAGUGUGUGUGUGCGUGUGUGUGCAAUAUCGCUGACCAUGUCUGGCAGGGAAAAGAUCCUUGGGAGGCAGCGUUUUCUCCGGAUUAGCAAAACCCAACGGAAUGGCGAUCUUGUGAGUUCCUUCAGCAGUUCGUUACACUCUUUGCAGCCUGGUGAAUCUUUAUUUCCGCACUCUCACUGACCCAAUACAGCGUGCGUCUCACUCCCGCCGAUCAACUCCUUUGUUUGGUUUGCUCACCUGCCACUUGGCGUUCGCGUUUACCAUUUCCCCCCCUUUUUCCAAGCGAUUUUUCCUUUUUAUAAUUUUGCCUUAAUUGUUCCACAUCCCGAUAUGGGCACGGAAGGGGCGGAUUUUCUUUACAUCGCCACACUCCCCCCCGCUGGGACAAACAACCCAUGGUUGGCAAAACAACUAAUAUUUGGGUUUCUCUUAGAAGCCCAAAAACUCCUCAUCUUCAUCAGAGGACUGUUCGAAAAUCUUAACGAGUUUUCUUUUUUCAAUUAGCUCUAACUCUUCCAUAGUUGGGUAGCACGGUUUCAAAUUACAAACGUGCGCUGUUCUGACAUCCUCUCCAGUUGUUUCCAGCGCGAUCUGGUAGUUCAGCGGUCCCAAUUUUCUCAGCACUCGGUAAGGACCUUUCCACUUGGGGGCUAGUUUUGCACUGAAAUGUUGUUGUGCCUUGGACUGUGGAAAAUUCCGUAACCAGAUCCUGUCCUUUUCUUUAAAGAACACGUCUCGUCUGUUUUUGUUGUAACUUCUCAGCUGUCGUUUUUUGGCUUUUUUACAGCAUUCUUCAGCUUGUGAUUUUAACUGGGCUAGUUGAUUUACCACAUCAUAGGAUGGAUUUGAUGGUGAGAGAUUUUUACCUUGAAGUAUCUUGUCCAUUGGGCCUUGUAAUUUUCUUCCUAGCUGGAGCUCCGCAGGGGACAUGCCAGUGCUUUCUUGAACGGCUGAGUUAAGAGCAAAACGAAGCUCAGUUCUUUGAAUAUGGAAGAGACAAACUGAGUUCCCCGGUCAGACAAGAUGAAGUCCGGUACUCCAUAUCGGGUGAGGAUUUCCGUUCGGAGAAUCGUUGCUAUGGUGCUCGCAAUUGCAGUGCGCAUUGGAAAGAGCUCAACCCAUCGAGAGAAAUAAUCCACAAAAACUAGAAGGUAUUCAUGUCUGCGAGUACUACUUGGCAAAGGUCCCAUUAUGUCCACUCCUACCAUCUUGUUGGGUUGCGACACUGUAAUUGGUUGUAGUUUGCCAGCUGGUUUCUGAUUUUCAUAUUUAAGCUUUUGACAUUUUUCACAACACUUGACAUGGUGUUUUACAUCGGUCCACAUUCCAGGCCAAAAAACAACAUGAUGCAAUCGUUUGUAGGUCUUGAAUAUGCCACCAUGACCGCUUAGAGGAUUGGAGUGGUAGUAUUGAAGGACAGAUGGAAUGAGACUGCGAGGGAGGUACACCCUGUAGUGGACUUGGUCCUUUGUUAGAUGGUUGCAGCAGUGACUGGCAAUUCAUCAGUGUCCGUCUGGCUGGAGUAUAGGUUACAUCCUGAUAUGCUGGGAACUCUAGAAAGAGCAUCAGGUGCCACAUUAAGUUUUCCUUUCCUGUAUUCAAUGAUGAAAUCAAACUUUUGCAACCUUAAGGCCCAUCUGACGAGGCGACUGGUGGACUUUGGGGAGCUCAUAACCCACUGGAGAGCCAUGUGGUCUGUAACUACGGUGAACAUGCGAUACUCCAAGUAAUGCUGCCACUUUUCAAGUGCCCAUAUGACUGCAAGACACUCUUUCUCUGUUGCGGUGUAAUUUCUUUCAGCCUUAUUCAGUGCUCUGCUUGCAUAAGCAAUAACUACUUCCAUUCCCUGGUCCUUCCUUUGUGUUAGCACAGCUCCAAGACCUGUGUCGCUGGCAUCAGUGUGCACCAUGAAGGGUAACUGGAGGUUUGGAUGGCUCAGGAUGGGAGGUGAAGUAAGCGCAUUUAUGGGUUCAGCAAUUUGAGAAAAAUUAGGAACAAAGCGGUGGUACCAACCGGCUAGUCCCAGGAAGCGCUGGACCUCUUUGAUGUCUCGUGGCACAGGGUUGAUAGUCAGUCCAGCCUCCUGAAGCUUAAGAAGGACUGAUUGGAGAUCGUUGAAGUGCUGAGCCACUGAUGGUGAAUAGAUGAUAAUAUCGUCAAUGUAGACAAAGCAUAUUUUUCCUCUCAAUUUUCCCAGUACAGUCUCCAUUAGCCUCUGGAAUGUGGCG